rnacentral:rRNA from 1 species
CCUACGGGUGGCAGCAGUGGGGAAUAUUGGACAAUGGGCGAAAGCCUGAUCCAGCCAUGCCGCGUGUGUGAAGAAGGCCUUCGGGUUGUAAAGCACUUUCAGUGGGGAAGAAAGCCUUGGGGCUAAUACCCUCGAGGAAGGACAUCACCCACAGAAGAAGCACCGGCUAACUCCGUGCCAGCAGCCGCGGUAAUACGGAGGGUGCGAGCGUUAAUCGGAAUUACUGGGCGUAAAGCGCGCGUAGGCGGUCUGAUAAGCCGGUUGUGAAAGCCCCGGGCUCAACCUGGGAACGGCAUCCGGAACUGUCAGUCUAGAGUGCAGGAGAGGAAGGUAGAAUUCCCGGUGUAGCGGUGAAAUGCGUAGAGAUCGGGAGGAAUACCAGUGGCGAAGGCGGCCUUCUGGACUGACACUGACGCUGAGGUGCGAAAGCGUGGGUAGCAAACAGGAUUAGAUACCCUGGUAGUC